UGGGGAAUAUUGGUCAAUGGCCGAGAGGCUGAACCAGCCAAGUCGCGUGAGGGAAGAAUGUCCUAUGGAUUGUAAACCUCUUUUGUCAGGGAGCAAAGUCACCCACGUGUGGGUGUUGGAGAGUACCUGAAGAAAAAGCAUCGGCUAACUCCGUGCCAGCAGCCGCGGUAAUACGGAGGAUGCGAGCGUUAUCCGGAUUUAUUGGGUUUAAAGGGUGCGUAGGCGGGUUAUCAAGUCAGCGGUAAAAUCGUGGAGCUCAACUCCAUCCAGCCGUUGAAACUGAUGAUCUUGAGUGGGCGAGAAGUAUGCGGAAUGCGUGGUGUAGCGGUGAAAUGCAUAGAUAUCACGCAGAACUCCGAUUGCGAAGGCAGCAUACCGGCGCCCGACUGACGCUGAAGCACGAAAGCGUGGGUAUCGAACAGG
rnacentral:rRNA from 1 species